AAUGAAGUGGAGUCAGGAGGAUCAGUGGCCCAAAGUCAUCUUUGCUGUGCCCAGUGUGAGCCCAGGCUAUGAGAGAAGCCAGGAGCAGGCAGCUUUCUGGCAGGCUGGGCUCUCAGGACGGCUCCACCCCUCACUGCAGCUGCAUCCCACCCCUUGCCUGAUCCUUCGUACCUACAACGUCCUGGACAUGAAGAACACCACAUGCCAGGACCUUCAGAUAGAAGUGAAGGUCACAGACGCUGUGGAAUAUGCAUGGAGCGCCUACGAAGACUAUGAAGACGACUAUAACAUGCCAGCCACAGAUGAUCCCAGCGUUCCCUUGCAGCCUGUCACGCCCCUGCAGCUAUUUGAGGGUCGUCGGAGCCGCCGCAGGAGGGAGGCCCCCAAGGUGGCUGAAGAGCGGGAGUCCAGAGUUCACUACACUGUGUGUAUCUGGCGCAAUGGCAAGCUGGGGCUGUCUGGCAUGGCCAUCGCAGACAUCACCCUCCUGAGUGGAUUCCACGCCCUGAGGGCUGACCUGGAGAAGCUGACCUCUCUCUCUGACCGUUACGUGAGUCACUUUGAGACUGACGGGCCCCAUGUCCUGUUGUACUUUGACUCG
rnacentral:lncRNA from 1 species